ensembl:snRNA U6 U6 spliceosomal RNA
GUGCUCGCUUCAGCAGCACAUAUACUCAAAUUGGAAUGGUACAGAGAAGAUUAUCAAGGCUUCUGUACAAGGAUGACAUGCAAAUUCACGAAGCAUUCUAUAUUUAA